AGUGAACGCUGGCGGUAGGCCUAACACAUGCAAGUCGAACGGCAGCACAGUAAGGGCUUGCUCUUACGGGUGGCGAGUGGCGGACGGGUGAGGAAUACAUCGGAACCUACUUUUUCGUGGGGGAUAACGUAGGGAAACUUACGCUAAUACCGCAUACGACCUACGGGUGAAAGCAGGGGAUCUUCGGACCUUGCGCGAUUGAAUGAGCCGAUGUCGGAUUAGCUAGUUGGCGGGGUAAAGGCCCACCAAGGCGACGAUCCGUAGCUGGUCUGAGAGGAUGAUCAGCCACACUGGAACUGAGACACGGUCCAGACUCCUACGGGAGGCAGCAGUGGGGAAUAUUGGACAAUGGGCGCAAGCCUGAUCCAGCCAUACCGCGUGGGUGAAGAAGGCCUUCGGGUUGUAAAGCCCUUUUGUUGGGAAAGAAAAGCAGCAGGUUAAUACCCCGCUGUUCUGACGGUACCCAAAGAAUAAGCACCGGCUAACUUCGUG
rnacentral:rRNA from 1 species